UGGGCUGUGGCUCAGUGGUAGAGCACUCGCCUAACAAGUGCAAGACCCUGGGUUCAAUCCUUAGCACCACAU
rnacentral:tRNA from 1 species